CUUAAGCUGAAGAAGGCUUGUUGCAGGGCAAAGGCUCUACAGGCCCGUUCAGAUUAAAGGACCUUGAACUUCCUUCAGCAACUAUUGAUUGAAGCUGUCGGACUACAGAUUGAAAGCGAAAACUUGUUUGUCUAUAUUUCUGGGCUUGUUGAUGCUGCUACACGUUGGGAAGAAAGUGCAGUGCAGAUUCUAGCUCUGGAGGCUCAGCUGCCUGAAUAUGAGGAAGUUCUGAGGAGUUCGGAGGACAUUCAUGUGAUCUUGCCUUCUUUACCCCAUAUCAUCUCGACAAUUACAAUGUCUAAGUCUUGGUUGAAGAAUUCGGAACCAUUUUUGGGGUCUGCUCACACGAAUAGGGGAUCACCAAGUUUGUUGCUUGAAGUCGAUAAAUUGAAGGUUAUUGCUAACACCUAAAUCUCUAGUCUCACAUCCAUACAUGUUUUAUGUUAAUUAACUGUUUGGUUUAGAAGUUGGGCUAUUUGUUAGUUAGUUGCUGAGGGACUAUAGUUCAAUUGGUUACUCUCUAAUGGAAGCACAGAAAUCGAUCAAGAUAGGGAAUUCCUCUGUUCUUUGUGUGCUCUCUUCUCUUACUAUAAUAAUUUGUUUCAACAGCUCUUCUCUAAUCCAAUCAAUCUCAUUA